GAUGAACGCUGGCGGCGUGCCUAAUACAUGCAAGUCGAGCGAACGGACGAGAAGCUUGCUUCUCUGAUGUUAGCGGCGGACGGGUGAGUAACACGUGGAUAACCUACCUAUAAGACUGGGAUAACUUCGGGAAACCGGAGCUAAUACCGGAUAAUAUUUUGAACCGCAUGGUUCAAAAGUGAAAGACGGUCUUGCUGUCACUUAUAGAUGGAUCCGCGCUGCAUUAGCUAGUUUGUAAGGUAACGGCUUACCAAGGCAACGAUGCAUAGCCGACCUGAGAGGGUGAUCGGCCACACUGGAACUGAGACACGGUCCAGACUCCUACGGGAGGCAGCAGUAGGGAAUCUUCCGCAAUGGGCGAAAGCCUGACGGAGCAACGCCGCGUGAGUGAUGAAGGUCUUCGGAUCGUAAAACUCCGUUAUUAGGGAAGAACAUAUGUGUAAGUAACUGUGCACAUCUUGACGGUACCUAAUCAGAAAGCCACGGCUAACUACGUG
rnacentral:rRNA from 1 species